rnacentral:rRNA from 1 species
CCUACGGGCGGCAGCAGUGGGGGAUAUUGCACAAUGGGGGAAACCCUGAUGCAGCGACGCCGCGUGUGGGAAGACGGUCUUCUGGAUUGUAAACCACUGUCCCCAGGGACGAAAAUGACGGUACCUGGGGAGGAAGCUCCGGCUAACUACGUGCCAGCAGCCGAGGUAAUACGUAGGGAGCAAGCGUUGUCCGGAAUUACUGGGUGUAAAGGGAGCGUAGGCGGGGAUGCAAGUUAGGUGUCAAAACUACCGGCUCAACCGAUAGUCGCACUCAAAACUGCAACUCUUGAGUGAAGUAGAGGCAGGCGGAAUUCCUAGUGUAGCGGUGAAAUGCGUAGAUAUUAGGAGGAACCCCAGUGGCGAAGGCGGCCUGCUGGGCUUUUACUGACGCUGAGGCUCGAAAGUGUGGGGAGCAAACAGGAUUAGAUACCCCUGUAGUC